AUUGAACGCUGGCGGCAUGCCUUACACAUGCAAGUCGAACGGCAGCAUGGAAGAGCUUGCUCUUCUGAUGGCGAGUGGCGAACGGGUGAGUAAAGCAUCGGAACGUACCGUGUAGUGGGGGAUAACGUAGCGAAAGUUACGCUAAUACCGCAUACGCACUGAGGUGGAAAGCAGGGGAUCGCAAGACCUUGCGCUAUACGAGCGGCCGAUGUCAGAUUAGCUAGUUGGUAGGGUAAAGGCCUACCAAGGCGACGAUCUGUAGCGGGUCUGAGAGGAUGGUCCGCCACACUGGGACUGAGACCCGGCCCGGACUCCUACGGGAGGCAGCAGUGGGGAAUUUUGGACAAUGGGCGAAAGCCUGAUCCAGCCAUGCCGCGUGAGUGAAGAAGGCCUUCGGGUUGUAAAGCUCUUUCGGCUGGGAAGAAAUCGCACAGGCUAAUACUCUGUGUGGAUGACGGUACCAGCACAAGAAGCACCGGCUAACUACGUGCCAGCCGCCGCCGUAA
rnacentral:rRNA from 1 species